rnacentral:rRNA from 1 species
UCCGCGGCCUAUCAGCUAGUUGGCGGGGUAAAAGCCCAAAGGCUACGACGGGUAGCUGGUCUUAGAGGACGACCAGCCACACUGGAACUGAGACACUCCAGACACCUACGGGUGGCAGCAGUCGAGAAUCUUUCACAAUGGGGGCAACCCUGAUAGCGACGCCGCGUGGAGGAUAAGGUCUUCGGAUUGUAAACUCCUGUCAUGUGUGAACAGUUGCGAGAUUAAUAGUCUUGCAAAUUGAUGGUAACACAAGAGGAAGAGACGGCUAACUGUGCCAGCAGCCGCGGUAAUACAGAGGUCUCAAGCGUUGUUCGGAAUCACUGGGCGUAGGGUGCGUAGGUGGCGUGGAAAGUCAGAUGUGAAAGCCCGGGGCUCAACCUCGGAACCAUCCGAUACUACCAUGCUAGAGUACUGAAGAGGUGACUAGAAUUCUCGGUGUAGCAGAAAUGCGUAGAUAUCGAGAGGAAUACCAACGGCGAAGGCAGGUCACUGGGCAGUUACUCACUGAGGCACGAAGGCCAGGGGAGCAAACGGGAUUAGAUACCCCGGUAGUCCUGGCAAAACGGUGCAUAUUUGGUGUGGGCGCAAUCGACCGCGUCCGCGCCGGAGCUAACGCGU